rnacentral:rRNA from 1 species
UGCAAGUCGAACGCUUCUUUUUCCACCGGAGCUUGCUCCACCGGAAAAAGAGGAGUGGCGAACGGGUGAGUAACACGUGGGUAACCUGCCCAUCAGAAGGGGAUAACACUUGGAAACAGGUGCUAAUACCGUAUAACAAUCGAAACCGCAUGGUUUUGAUUUGAAAGGCGCUUUCGGGUGUCGCUGAUGGAUGGACCCGCGGUGCAUUAGCUAGUUGGUGAGGUAACGGCUCACCAAG